GGCCAUUGCUAUUGGGAUCCGAUUUAGCCAUGCUAGUCGCACGAGUUCAGACUCGUGGCGAAUAGCUCAGUAACACGUGGCCAAACUACCCUUCGGAACACAAUACCCUCGGGAAACUGAGGCUAAUAGUGUAUACCACAUCACCACUGGAAUGAGUGAUGUGCCAAACGCUCCGGCGCCGAAGGAUGUGGCUGCGGCCGAUUAGGUAGACGGUGGGGUAACGGCCCACCGUGCCAAUAAUCGGUACGGGUCAUGAGAGUGAGAACCCGGAGACGGAAUCUGAGACAAGAUUCCGGGCCCUACGGGGCGCAGCAGGCGCGAAACCUUUACACUGCACGACAGUGCGAUAGGGGGAUCCCAAGUGCACAGGCAUAGCGCCUGUGCUUUUCGGUACCGUAAGGUGGUACCAGAAUAAGGGCUGGGCAAGACCGGUGCCAGCCGCCGCGGUAAUACCGGCAGCCCAAGUGAUGGCCGAUCUUAUUGGGCCUAAAGCGUCCGUAGCUGGCCGCGCAAGUCCAUCGGGAAAUCCACCUGCUCAACAGGUGGGCGCCCGGUAGAAACUGCGUGGCUUGGGACCGGAAGGCGCGACGGGUACGUCCGGGGUAGGAGUGAAAUCCCGUAAUCCUGGACGGACCGCCGAUGGCGAAAGCACGUCGCGAGGACGGAUCCGACAGUGAGGGACGAAAGCCAGGGUCUCGAACCGGAUUAGAUACCCGGGUAGUCCUGGCCGUAAACAAUGUCUGCUAGGUGUGGCUCCCACUACGAGUGGGUGCUGUGCCGUAGGGAAGCCGCUAAGCAGACCGCCUGGGAAGUACGUCCGCAAGGAUGAAACUUAAAGGAAUUGGCGGGGGAGCACUACAACCGGAGGAGCCUGCGGUUU
rnacentral:rRNA from 1 species